AGUAACUUAUGUUUCUGUUCAACAAGCACACAUGGCAUAUGUCUUUGAGACGUAAAUUCAAAUCAGAGCGGGCACCACUAGUCGACAGUGAGGCAGUGAGGCGUUGUAAGGAGAAGUUUGGUUCUACGAGGAGAGGGCAGCCUAAUAAAUGUCAACGAACAAGUCAGAGAAAUGUUUGUCAGGGACCAUGCGUCCAAGGAGAAGAUUUAUUAUCCAUAGACGCCCACUUAAAGGUCUUACAGUGCCAAUAUCAGAAGAUGCAACCAGAUACCAUGGUGGUUCAUAACCGUAUGCAGCAAGCGUUUGCUUGGCGGCAAAAAGAAAUUGCAGAUGGUAUGCCUGUGGAGGAUGUGUUGAAGAAGUACCCCUUCUUAGGGAUGCCUACUGGUCUGUGCAACGAACUCGGUGGAUC